GUCUGUGAGGCUUGUGCUCAGACGUAACCAGGACAUUAUGUAAUUUUUCCCCCCUGUAUACAUCCUCACACUCCUGUAGUCUUUUCCCUCAUUGCCUGCUCUUCUUUUCCAGCUGGACACAAGAUCUUUCCCGGUCUUUUCAACCCAGCUCCGUGGCCUGGCACAUUCAGGUGGAGACUAGAUGGAGGACAUCUUACGACGAGAUGAGCUUUGAACCUGCCAUUCCCCCUCUCACUUAGGAAGGUUUAGUCCAGUCUUGUGCUUGCUUCUGCUUCUGCUUCUGCAGAGGCCAUGGCUCCACAAUGCCUGGGGAGGAAACUCAGCAAUCUCUAUGAGCUCAAGGAGACACAGUGUGAAGCCUUUGCAUCCUUCCCCUCCUGCUUGAGAGCCUGUGUAUCAGAGCAGAGCAAGGCAGUGCCUGAGAGCCAGGCUCUGAGACUGUGCCACAUAAACUCCCACUUCUAGCUGUAAUCUUGAACAUGACGCUUACUUUUAUUGUAUCUUAGUUUUUCAUCUGACAGGCACAAUAAAAAAUUUUUUCCUUCAAU
ensembl:antisense Gm12863 predicted gene 12863